CACAGUUUGGUUUUAUUUUUCAAUGAUAGUCAUUGCCUCAUUUUUAAAGCAUUUAUAAUAAAUUAAGCAAGUAACACUUGUGUACCAGUUUCUAAUCAGUUUCUAAUGUGCCUGGAACUUGCUGGGCUACAAAGAAAAGGAUCAACUAUUUUUUUUCCUGCACCCAAAGAUAUUGCAAUCUUAUCGGAGAAGGGAAACUGAGGCAUGUGUUACAGUUAGAGGACUAGGAAGCACUAAUCUGUGUCAGACUCCAAAGUGCAAAUUCAAAGGAAAGACCAUUGUUGGAGGGAGUGAUCCGGAAGAAUUCCUAGCCCUUACCUGUCUCAGUCAUGCUUCUUGCCAAAGAAAAAGAGAAAUCUCCAAGUAUCUUAAUGCUUUCAGCGCUUCUCCAAUCUGACAAAUAUUUAUUCAGAUUCGAACUGACUGCCCAAGCUUCACUGCAGCUCCUCGUUUCCUGUUAGAUCUUUUUAAAAAUCUUUGCUUAAAACAUUGAAGGCUGAACGAUGAGCAAGAAAAUCUUGCCUGUGAAUAAGACACUGGGAACUGCACAGAAUCAACAUCAGCUCACAAGCUCAUCAUCUCACGCACGGAUUCCUGAGCACAUUCUCGCAUUCUUGCUCUUAAUCCUCCCUUGGCGACCUUCUACUCAGACAUCAUCUUUUAUGCAGAGAAGCAGGCACGUUUCUCAUCAUUAAUUCUGUUCUCAGCCAGGUGUGUAGCCACAGAGCAUACAGACCACAGGAUGAUUGAAAGCAUAUUGACUUUCCUGACUUCUUAUGACCACAUUUGAGGAAAGGAGUAAGCACUGGAAUCACCAACACAGCAUGCUUACGGAGGGUGGUCACCAGCUUCAUCAGCCUCCCAAUUCCACGGAGCCCCUUGAAAAUCCAGGAGCGCAGACUGGCAACAGUAGAGAUUUAAUAGGAGUUUACUGGAGGUUAUACUCCAGUCAAAGAAGAUGGAAACCAAGAAAGGACACAUUUUGGAGAUUAGCACUGGCUCCAGGAACCCAGUGAACAGAAGACUCAGGCUGAAGGCUUGUGCAUUCAGCCCAGAGAAAAUCCACUUAAAUUCAGAACAAUUAAGGACUCUGGGGAAGAAGGACUUCACAUGGUAGUGUGAUUGGAAGGCAGAUAAAUUUUAGGACACAAUGGAAGUUCCUAAGAUUUUUUAUCCUUUUCCAAUAGGAAGGAUAAAAAAAUCAUCUAAAACUAGAGGAAAAAUCAUCUAAAACAAGGUAUAAAGAAAUGGCUCACGUGUGACCCUUAUUUUACUGUGACAUGGAGCAUUUGAUGAAGGAUGUGGGAAGGGAGCCUGCUUAACUAUGAAGUGAGUAGCAUCGCCCCAGGAGCACCAUGACAGAUGCACAGGACAUGGAGGGAAGGAAAUGGCAUCCUGGCACAGCCCUGGCUCUACAUUGAGCAAUGUAGACAAAAUCAUAAAGGCUGCUCUAGUUUUCUACUUUUAGAAUCAACCUACAGACAUGUAAGACUUAAUUGUAGUUGUAGAAUAAAAGAUAAAAGAUUAUUGGCUUUCAUAACAAUAAAGUCCUAACAAUGAUUCACAGUUAUUCCAUGAAUAAGGGUAGGGGAAAAGAGGGAGGAAUGUAAGGCAUUUUAUAUGGAGCAAGGGAGGCAAAAGACGUUGACAGAGGCUUAUGGAACAACACACACACGCACACAAAUAGAAGGAAUAUAUUGCUUAAAAUGACAAAAAUAGCCAACAUAGGCUGGGUGCGGUGGCUCAUGCCUGUAAUCCCAGCACUUUGGGAGGCUGAGGCGGACGGAUCACUUGAAGCCAGGAGUUCAAGACCAGCCUGGCCAACAUGGUGAAACCCCGUCUCUACUAAAAAUACAAAAAUUGACUGGGCGCAGUGGUGUGCAUCUGUAGUUCCAACUACUUGGGAGGCUGAGGCAGGAGAAUCACUUGAAUCCGGGAGGCGGAGGUUGCAGUGAGCCGAGAUCACGCCACUGCAUCCUAGCCUGGGUGACAGAGUGAGACCGUCUGAAAAAGAAAAAAGCCAACAUAGGAAUUUUUAAAAUAAUAUAUAAUUACCAAAAAUUGGGGAAAAUAGAGACAGGGAAGGCAGUUCUAUAAGCGAGAUAAAUCUUUAUCUUUUGUAUCAGAAAGUCAAUAAAUAUUGUCUGAAUUUGA
ensembl:lncRNA LINC00327 long intergenic non-protein coding RNA 327